rnacentral:lncRNA from 1 species
UAUAAUUUAUUUUCUUCCUCUAGGCAGCACUCAGAAGUAUGUUCUCAGAAUAAUUCCUGAUCCUCUGUGAGUUCCUGGUGCAGCUCCUGGAGGAAAAGCCUGCAUGGGGGAGGGAGCCCUCCUCACAUGCAGCCCUGAGGCUGUCACGUCACUUCACCCACCGUUGCCCUUCAGUCACUUCCUGAACGCUUAUGAGUUAAUCUUCCUGAAACAUGUGGUAUAUGGCAGUGUCUUUCCCAGGCUGCACCCUUUACAAGGAGUCUCCGGUGGUACAGCGGAUUUUCCUCCAUCCUCCACUCCCCCUCCUGGCUGCAGCAUCCACAGAUUAUUUUCUUGAAUCUGACCCCAGUUGUUUAUUAAUUAUACCCCUUUUCAUGACGUGGGAAGGCUAAGAUGAAGCUGUCUGGGAUGGAAAAGAAUCCCUUCCUCUCACAUAGA